rnacentral:lncRNA from 1 species
UGAGAAUGAUGUGUCUUACAUGGCUUCUCCAAGGAAAUCUUCAAAAUCACCGUUUCAUGGAUCCUGCUAUCACAGUGAGGCAUGCAUCAUACUCAUGGAGAUCUC